rnacentral:sRNA from 1 species
UACGUAGGGGGCGAGCGUUGUUCGGAAUUACUGGGCGUAAAGAGCGCGUAGGCGGUCAAGUAAGUCAGGCGUGAAAUCCCUCAGCUUAACUGAGGUUUGGCGCUUGAAACUAUCUGACUUGAGUUUAGGAGAGGAGAGUGGAAUUCCCAGUGUAGCGGUGAAAUGCGUAGAUAUUGGGAGGAACACCUGUGGCGAAGGCGGCUCUCUGGACUAAUACUGACGCUGAGGCGCGAAAGCUAGGGGAGCAAACGGG